rnacentral:rRNA from 1 species
ACGGAAGGCAGCAGUGGGGGAUAUUGCACAAUGGAGGAAACUCUGAUGCAGCAACGCCGCGUGAGGGAAGAAGGUCUUCGGAUUGUAAACCUCUGUUUUUGUUGAAGAAACAAAUGACGGUAGCCAAAGAGGAAGCCACGGCUAACUACGUGCCAGCAGCCGCGGUAAUACGUAGGUGGCAAGCGUUGUCCGGAUUUACUGGGUGUAAAGGGUGCGCAGGCGGGACCGCAAGUUGGAUGUGAAAUACCGGAGCGUAACUCCGGAGCUGCAUCCAAAACUGUGGUUCUUGAGUGGAGUAGAGGUAAGCGGAAUGCCGAGUGUAGCGGUGAAAUGCGUAGAUAGUCGGAGGAACACCAGUGGCGAAGGCGGCUUACUGGGCUCUAACUGACGCUGAGGCACGAAAGUGUGGGUAGCAAACAGGAUUAGAUACCCUGGUA